rnacentral:lncRNA from 10 species
UGCAGAGCUGUGCGUGCCUGCCGAGGCUGGGCAGCAGACUUCAGACUGGAGCUUGGGGACUCCUCCAGAGAAACAGUAAGAUGAGUUACAAGCCGUGAACCUGUCUCAGUAGGACUGUCUAGUUACAGGGAGCUCCAUAUUAAGAGAAAUUGGAAGAAACCUGUAAUCCAAUCAUGAAGCCGGGGAUGGUGGGGACAUCAUUAGAGAUGCCACGGUCCAGAGGAAGGACACAUCGGCUGAUACAGCUGACCACAGGUUGGAGCAGUGCAUCUCUGGGGAACAUCCAUGAAGACCAACAGAGAAUGAGAAGGACAGAGCAGCAAAGGGCACCUGCAGGGAUGGAACAGCCACCAGGAGCCAGAUGCUUUAACUGAACUGACUUGAGUUGAACCCUCACAACAGACCCGCCAUGCAGGUACUUAUUAGAUAAGAGAGCCGAGGACCAGGAAGGCCAAAUAGCUGGCCCAGGUUCCCCCAGGUGCCAGCGGUAGGACUGCAAUUCUGCUCGUCGAAGCCCUCUCUCUUC